UACAGAGGGGGCAAGCGUUAUUCGGAAUUAUUGGGCGUAAAGGGCGCGUAGGCGGCCGUGCAAGUGGAAGGUGAAAUCCCUCGGCUCAACCGAGGAACUGCCUUUCAAACUGCAUGGCUUGAGUCCGGGAGAGGUGAGUGGAAUUCCCAGUGUAGCGGUGAAAUGCGUAGAUAUUGGGAGGAACACCAGUGGCGAAGGCGGCUCACUGGACCGGAACUGACGCUGAGGCGCGAAAGCUAGGGGAGCAAACAGG
rnacentral:rRNA from 1 species